rnacentral:rRNA from 1 species
CAAUAGCGUAUAUUAAAGCUGUUGCGGUUAAAAAGCUCGUAGUUGGAUUUCUGUCAAGGACAACUGGUCCGCCCUCCGGGUGAGCACAUAGUUUGGUCUUGACAUCUUGCUGGAAGCUGUUGCUGCACUUGGCUGUGUGGCGCAGUGUUCAGCACUUUCACUUUGAGGAAAUUGGAGUGUUUCAAGCAGGCACAUGCCUUUGGACACAGUAGCAUGGAAUAAUUAGAUUGGGCUUUUGCUCCAAUUUGUCGGUUUCUGGAGCUGAGGUGAGUAUUAAUGGGGAUUGUUGGGGGCAUCCGAAUUUAGCCGUCAGAGGUGAAAUUCUUGGAUCUGCUAAAGACGGACAACUGCGAAAGCGUUUGCCCAGGAUGUUUUCAUUAA